AAAACUCUGACAUCACCAUCACACCUACUUCAGGAAGAGUUCUACCUGGACAGAAGUGUCUGGUCCAGGUUACAUUCAGCCCAACACUGUCUGAUGACGUCAUCAACGCAGAAGCUCUUCACUGGAGAGAGGAAUUUCAUACUGACACCAGCAACUGCCAACAUACAGAACCUGAUGCCAAAAGCAAAAUAGAGGCUCCAUUGCUUUUGGUAAAAGAUCAUGGCAGCAAAGUGAUGCCUGCAAAUGGCAGCCCCUUCCAUUCCCCAAGCCCAGCAGAUAUUCAGG
rnacentral:lncRNA from 1 species